rnacentral:rRNA from 1 species
CCUACGGGGGGCUGCAGCUAAGAAUCUUCCGCAAUGGGGGAAACCCUGACGGAGCGACGCCGCGUGGACGAUGGAGGCCGUAAGGUUGUAAAGUCCUUUUCCUGGUGAAGAAUGACUGUGGGAGUGGAAAGCCCAUGGGAUGACGUUAGCCAGGGAAUAAGCCCCGGCCAAUUACGUGCCAGCAGCCGCGGUAAUACGUAUGGGGCAAGCGUUGUUCGGAGUUAUGGGGGGGAAUGAGCAAGUAGGGUGCGAAAAGGCAGGGCUUAACCCUGCAGAUGCGCUGGAAACUGGUGGGCUUGAGUUCCUGAGGGGAAGCUGGAAUUCCAGGUGUAGGAGUGAAAUCUGUAGAUAUCUGGAAGAACACCGGUGGCGAAGGCGAGCUUCUAUCAGAGGACUGACGCUGAGGCGCGAAAGCGUGGGGAGCAAACAGGAUUAGAUACCCCAGUAGUC